ensembl:lncRNA
CACUUGGUGGUGCGCAACUGCCUGCAGCCGCAGGCCCGGUUGCUGAAGGAGUUGAGCGACUACCUGACCAACCUGCACAGUCUGGGGACCCGGAGCGAGGGCCUGGUCAACCUCCUCUUCAGCAAGCUCAGCCUGCACGAUGGGGGCAAGGAGAACUGAGCGUGGACUGUCCCGGGCCGGGCCCAGGGCUCCCCCCUGGUCUCCAGGCAGGCCACGCGCUCCUCCAUCACUGCUUUCAUGUCCCUUCUUUGUUGCACUGUUGCUUCCAAUAUAAAGUUACUUGGUUCUUAACGAAAAAAGAAAAAAAGAAGUCUUGCUCCGCAACUUGUUAAAAACUUGGGUAUGGUAAAAAAUAAUAUGGUGAAUGCUGCUGUCCAGUGUAUCCAAUGGAAAGGAUGGAUCAUAAAACCAUGGCAGUGUUUCCUCAUUGGCUUUAUUCAUCUGAUCAGAUACCAUGUGACUUCUGGCUCUUCCUCCAAGUCAAAAUGACCCUGAAAUCAGAAUCUUCUUCCAACAGAUGAAAGCUUAUACUAGUAGUCAAUAAAGUUUCUCAGAUUGAUGCAGGAAUGAGAGUCUCCCAGCCUUAUAUUCUCAGCCUCCUUCAGCCUCCUACUUCAGCUUCUUACUGAGGUACUGCAACAAAACUCUAGAGCUCUGAAGAACAGUUUAGGGUCAUGAAUUUAGACUACUUAGCUCAUUUAAUGAAAGGGAAACUGAGUCAUCAUGGGGUAUAGUUUGCCAUAGGUCCUGAUGGUGGAAUAGGAGAGCUCCUUUGAGUUCCUUCAGGGCCCUGGUUGGAUAGCAUUUCAAAGGCUGCAUUUUGAGCAAAUCAUCUCCUUCCCACUUUAUUAUUGUGUCCCAUGUUUCAUAAGAAUAAGAAAAGGCUCAGAAUGUAGCUACAGUCCCUCCAUCUCCAGCAGAGUCCCAGGAGAAAAUGUAUGAAGCUUUUCAAUUGGGGGACUGACUAGCUUCCUGCCAAGCCUGAUUAAGGAGGAGUGGCAGUUGGCUAGGGAGAUGGCCUGAAGGGGCAGAUUUGUGCAAGGCAGCCAAAAAAUAGAGGCCUCCCAUGAGGCGAUGCAGCCUGGAAUCCUGCUGGGACUCAAUGCACAUCUUGCAGCGAGGAUUUCUUGAGCACACAUCCAGCCAUGGUGCUCAGGAAAGGACAUCACUGCGAGCUUCUCAGAGCUGUGUGGGGCUGUAUAUGAGAGGGAAGAAGAGAAGACUGAGCUCUGCAAGGUCAGAGGCUGUGAGGAAUAAUGAUGUGCUGUGAGGAGGGGCUUGCCAGUUUUAAGAAGGGGAAAUGUAAUCUGUGGUCUUCUCUGGGCAAAAGUCCCAGACUUUGAUCAUGUGGGAUAGUCUACUGAUUUUAAAUAAUUUCCAUGCUUCCGAGUACCUACUAUGCCUGAGAAGUUGCUGUGAGUGUCAUAUGAUCAAAAUAAGCUAUUUCUGUCUACAGUAAGGUAUAGUAAAAUAAACACACAUAUGUGUAACUGAAAGGAAAUAGUGCUUUAUUCAUCUUUUAUCCUCAGAGUGUAGCGUGGUGCUUGGCUCUGGGUGUUAUUUAUUGGCUGCAUUUAUAGUUUACAUCCAAACAAGAUUUGAAGCAGUUGUAAAAUGUUUAAUGAGCGUGUUAAUAGAUUGUAAAAUCAGGAAUGGAACAGAAAGAAUAAUACAAUUUUGGUCUGCAAAAGAAAAUUUUAAUAAAAUGUGUUCAAGUCAUGGAUCUACCAUUGAUUACCUGUAAAUGAUUUAACCUUUCUAUUCUUUAGUGUCCUCUUCUAUAAAUUGAUGUUAACAAAAAUUUCUACCUCAUAGAUUAUUGUGAGAAUUACAUGAUUUAAUUGGUAUAGAGUUCAUAAGUAUUCAAUAAAUUGUAGAUAUUAUUUUGCUUUCUAG